GCAAGUCGAACGAACUCUGGUAUUGAUUGGUGCUUGCAUCAUGAUUUACAUUUGAGUGAGUGGCGAACUGGUGAGUAACACGUGGGAAACCUGCCCAGAAGCGGGGGAUAACACCUGGAAACAGAUGCUAAUACCGCAUAACAACUUGGACCGCAUGGUCCGAGUUUGAAAGAUGGCUUCGGCUAUCACUUUUGGAUGGUCCCGCGGCGUAUUAGCUAGAUGGUGGGGUAACGGCUCACCAUGGCAAUGAUACGUAGCCGACCUGAGAGGGUAAUCGGCCACAUUGGGACUGAGACACGGCCCAAACUCCUACGGGAGGCAGCAGUAGGGAAUCUUCCACAAUGGACGAAAGUCUGAUGGAGCAACGCCGCGUGAGUGAAGAAGGGUUUCGGCUCGUAAAACUCUGUUGUUAAAGAAGAACAUAUCUGAGAGUAACUGUUCAGGUAUUGACGGUAUUUAACCAGAAAGCCACGGCUAACUACGUGCCAGCAGCCGCGGUAAUACGUAGGUGGCAAGCGUUGUCCGGAUUUAUUGGGCGUAAAGCGAGCGCAGGCGGUUUUUUAAGUCUGAUGUGAAAGCCUUCGGCUCAACCGAAGAAGUGCAUCGGAAACUGGGAAACUUGAGUGCAGAAGAGGACAGUGGAACUCCAUGUGUAGCGGUGAAAUGCGUAGAUAUAUGGAAGAACACCAGUGGCGAAGGCGGCUGUCUGGUCUGUAACUGACGCUGAGGCUCGAAAGUAUGGGUAGCAAACAGGAUUAGAUACCCUGGUAGUCCAUACCGUAAACGAUGAAUGCUAAGUGUUGGAGGGUUUCCGCCCUUCAGUGCUGCAGCUAACGCAUUAAGCAUUCCGCCUGGGGAGUACGGCCGCAAGGCUGAAACUCAAAGGAAUUGACGGGGGCCCGCACAAGCGGUGGAGCAUGUGGUUUAAUUCGAAGCUACGCGAAGAACCUUACCAGGUCUUGACAUACUAUGCAAAUCUAAGAGAUUAGACGUUCCCUUCGGGGACAUGGAUACAGGUGGUGCAUGGUUGUCGUCAGCUCGUGUCGUGAGAUGUUGGGUUAAGUCCCGCAACGAGCGCAACCCUUAUUAUCAGUUGCCAGCAUUAAGUUGGGCACUCUGGUGAGACUGCCGGUGACAAACCGGAGGAAGGUGGGGAUGACGUCAAAUCAUCAUGCCCCUUAUGACCUGGGCUACACACGUGCUACAAUGGAUGGUACAACGAGUUGCGAACUCGCGAGAGUAAGCUAAUCUCUUAAAGCCAUUCUCAGUUCGGAUUGUAGGCUGCAACUCGCCUACAUGAAGUCGGAAUCGCUAGUAAUCGCGGAUCAGCAUGCCGCGGUGAAUACGUUCCCGGGCCUUGUACACACCGCCCGUCACACCAUGAGAGUUUGUAACACCCAAAGUCGGUGGGGUAACCUUUUAGGAACCAGCCGCCU
rnacentral:rRNA from 1 species